AGGAUGAACGCUGGCGGCGUGCCUAACACAUGCAAGUCGAACGUCCUGUCUCGCAAGAGGCAGGGAGUGGCGGACGGGUGAGUACCACGUGGGUCAUCUACCGUGGGGUGAGGAAUACCGGCGAGAAAUCGCCGACAAGACCGCAUAGCCUCGGUUCACUUCAGGAUGGGCCUGCGGCCUAUCAGCUUGUUGGUGAGGUAAUGGCUCACCAAGGCUUCGACGGGUAGCUGGUCUGAGAGGACGAUCAGCCGGAUUGGGACUGAGAUACGGCCCAGACUCCUACGGGGGGCAGCAAUUAGGAAUCUUGCGCAAUGGGCGAAAGCCUGACGGAGCGACGUCGCGUGAAGGAUGAAAUCUUUCGGGAUGUAAACUUCUUUACCAGGGAAGAAACAAUGACGGUACCUGGUAGAAUAGCCCGGCAACUACGUGCCAGCAGCCGC
rnacentral:rRNA from 1 species